AACCACCGCCCGCCAGAGAAGUACAAGCAAAAACCUCGAAACUCCAAGGACUUGGCGGUGCCCCACACCGACCUAGAGGAGCCUGUCCAGUAAUCGAUGACCCACGCUAAACCUAACCCCCCCUCGACAAUCAGCCUAUAUACCGCCGUCGCCAGCCUGCCUAAUGAUAGACCCAAAGCAGGUACAAUAGCCCCCCCCCGCUAAUACGUCAGGUCAAGGUGUAGCUAAUGGGGGGGGCAAAGAUGGGCUACAUUUUCUAAGCACAAGAAAACCACCAUACGUUUUAUGAAAAUAAACCGAAAGGCGGAUUUAGCAGUAAAUAGCGCAAGAAGCGCCCAAUUGAAACCUGCUCUGGGACACGCACAC
rnacentral:rRNA from 1 species